GCAAGUCAGCAGAGCAGGAGGAAUGUUGUGUGGUCUACAGCAGUGGACAGGAAACGAAGUCUCAUAGUUACAUGCAACACAGCAUGGGAGGUAAAAUAAACCAUUUGUGUGGAUCCUAACGGCUUUCUAUGAAAACUGAGUGAAUAAUCAACAGGCCCACGUGGAAACUCAAUUUUAGCUGAGGGACUCCAGAACAUCCACUUGUGUACCAGGGGAGAAAACCAAGACAAUGCAGUAUGAGAAACAUUGUGACUGGAGCAAAAGAAGCCAUUUUGAAACAUCAGUGUCUUCAUGUUACAUACUACUUGAAAUUUUAAUUCAACUGAAGAUAAAUUUGGUUUCCAGUGUGAUAUAUAAGAUAAAGUCAUCUCAAGUUUCUUCCCAGCCCCAUGUAUUUGUUAAUCAGUACAAAUUUCAAGAUACAACAGUCUGCUUCUCAACAAUUUGUUUCAUUUAAUUAAAU
rnacentral:lncRNA from 1 species